rnacentral:tRNA from 1 species
GCGGUAAGGGCGAAAUUGGUAGACGCACCAGAUUUAGGUUCUGGCGCCGCGAGGCGUAAGAGUUCAAGUCUCUUCUUCCGCACCA